AAUGUAAUGCUCAUUACACAUAAAACCUUUCUUUCUUCCCAGAAUGUCCCUGAAGGAAAAGGAAGUGUAUGUGGAGAUGUUCAGCAAUCCAAUAAAGAUGGCUGCCUUUGAAGAGAAAAAUAAAGUAAAUGAGGUAGUUGAAG
rnacentral:lncRNA from 1 species